rnacentral:misc_RNA from 1 species
AACGCACGAGACCUGCGGACCUGCGGAGGGAUCAUUACCGAGUUAUCCAACUCCCAACCCCUGUGAAUCAUACCUUUAAUUGUUGCUUCGGCGGGACUUCGCGCCCGCCGGGGACCCAAACCUUCUGAAUUUUUUAAUAAGUAUCUUCUGAGUGGUUAAAAAAAAUGAAUCAAAACUUUUAGCAACGGAUCUCU